rnacentral:rRNA from 1 species
AUUAAGGGCUUAUGGCGGAUGCCUUG